CAGCAAUUUUGAAUGGCAUUGAUAACAUGUUAAGCUUCUUUCAAUUUUGAAUGGUGCUCUUAAUUCAUCAUUGUUGCAGGUCAACGCUAGCAGAUCAAAGCGGCAACUUCAAUUUUGUCUGGAGCCUUAGGACUAUCACAGUGGGACUGAACCCAAUCUGGAUCAAUUUUGAGUGAUAUUGGUGGGAUUUCAGGUAUUUGUAGUGGGCGGUAAAGGAUCGGAAAGGGUAUACCCAACAACAACUUGACGAGGUCCGCAUUGAAGUAGCCGACUACUUACAGACUCUGUUGUAGGUUCUGACCAGUUUCUUGAUUUUGAGUUAGUUUUAACUAACUUUUUUGUAGCAAUUAUGAACAAACAAGAAUACUAAUUGCUAGGCUAGCCUUGUAGUAUAUAGGUGCAUAUAUGAAUUGGGGUUUUAUUUUGCCCAUUUUGUAAACUGUUAAGGAUGAUGAAUGUCGGAUAUAAUACCCCAAUUUGCAAUUUAUAAUCACAGUUCUAUUUUGUGGACA